rnacentral:sRNA from 1 species
GGUGCGUGAUGUUCAUAAGGCGCAAUCCAAUUUUAUUGUACUAAUUUUUUUCCUAAUACGUAUAUUUGGCAAAUAAUCAGUCAUAAAGAAAUAAUCGUGCACAUGUUCCUGCACACUGGGUUAUCGCACGUAUCUCGGGUGACGUGAUGGUUACACAUUCUCCGGCGACUACAGCCUGUCACCUGUUCAGUCCGUGUCUGUGCGUUAAUCAAACACAGCGCAAUCCAUUUGUAAGCAGCUACAGUCGCUCCUUACUCACACACACACAGACACACACACACACACACACACACACAUGACAGCGCAUCACGAGCGCCAGCAGCCCGAACGUGACAUAUGGCGAUGAACUUUUAUGCCAGUAAGAUAUCAGACGCAGCCCACGGCACGCGUUGCCAGCAAUCCGUGCUGCAAAAGUCGCGCGGUCAACGGGAUCGUGGCAGACACACACAUACAUAUGCAUAUCGGCAGCAUAUGCCUUGCCAUCUGUGCAAUUUAGACAGCACUGAGGCCGGAGCUAAAGAGCCAGCUCAAACUGCUGACUUAAACAUUCUCACGCCCAGCGACGACAGUCUGGAGCAGGCCAUUAGGCAAGGAAAUGAAUUAGGUCGAAGAGUGGAGCAGCUGAAUGAACACGAUUUGAAAUCAGAGCUACAGCAGCUACCACUUGGGUCGAAGGUCACACGUCCACAAAUCCCCAUCGGCCGCCUGGGGCAAGGUAACAAACAAAUAAGACACACAAAUUGAUAGGAUUAGACGGCAAGAAGCGGCCCGUAGUCAAGCACAAGUCUGAUGAGUGGAAGGAACACAAGUCCUAAGGCUAAUGGUAGAUAGCUUAUGAGGCUAGACAGCCAAAACUAAUGGAGUCCCUAUUUGGACAAAUGACUAGCAUAAAGG